GACGAACGCUGGCGGCGUGCUUAACACAUGCGAGUCGAACGGAAAGGCCCCUUUGGGGGUACUCGAGUGGCGAACGGGUGAGUAACACGUGAGUAACCUGCCCUUGACUUCGGGAUAACUUCAGGAAACUGGGGCUAAUACCGGAUAGGAAUCCUUGCUGCAUGGUGGGGGUUGGAAAGCUUCGGCGGUUUUGGAUGGACUCGCGGCUUAUCAGCUUGUUGGUGGGGUAGUGGCUUACCAAGGCUUUGACGGGUAGCCGGCCUGAGAGGGCGACCGGCCACAUUGGGACUGAGAUACGGCCCAGACUCCUACGGGAGGCAGCAGUGGGGAAUAUUGCACAAUGGGCGGAAGCCUGAUGCAGCAACGCCGCGUGCGGGAUGACGGCCUUCGGGUUGUAAACCGCUUUCAGCAGGGGCGAAGCUUUUGUGACGGUACCUGCAGAAGAAGCACCGGCUAACUACGUG
rnacentral:rRNA from 1 species